AGACGGUUACCAGCUCGCCCGCGCAUCCCUCUCUCGGCUCCCCUCUCCUCCCCUCUCCUCUCCUCCCCUCCCCUCCUCCGCGGAACUGCUGGCUCCAUAUUAGCGAGGGUGCCCUGGCAGCGCGACCGAGGCCAACUACCCCUGGGGACCCUCCCGAGGCUCCCCGCACCCUGCACACCCUCAAGAUCGCCAAGGCGAGCCCACCGCACCCCACAGCGCGUCCCAAGGGCACCACAGCCGAGGAAGCGACUUUUGCGGUAGCGAAAGGGUGGCAGUACCCAGCUCCACGCGCUGCAAGACUCUAGCAGCCGCGCUUCACCCCAAAACUCUGCCCCUAGCCAGCACAGCUCCCCUAGCGCCCCAAAUCCCAGGUGUGCCUGUUUCCCUGGAGUCCCGCCGGCGUGCUUUGCUAUUCGCAGCUCGACGCCUAGACCUCCUGACUGCAACCUCCGAGGCCUUUGCGCUCCCAGGCGUCCUUUGCUGCAAGCAAACAGGCCCCCAACCGCCCCCUAUGGUUUGUACUCUUCUGGAAGGUGUCUUUGGCGCUGUGAAUGCAAACUCAGGCUUUGGAUUAAGGGCUUCAUUUUCAACUAACUGUGUGAUUUGAGGCCAGUUUCUUAACCUCAGUUUCUUUAUCUACAAAAUGGGAGGGAUAUUCGUAUAAGUGUGGCUACGAGGUUUAAAGAAGAUAUAGUUAUAUGUCAAAUGCUUAGCACAAAGUCCUGGUGGUUAGCAUUAUUAUUACCAUAUGGCCAGAACUGUGAGGACAUUAAAAGUGAAGUAGGCUUUUUCCCACCAGGGGUAAGCCUCGCGGAGUCCUAGGACACAUCCCACAAACCGAGGUGAACCUAAGCCACCGGCUACGUCUGAAGGGAGGACAGACGAGACGAGGGGCAGCCAACUGAGCGAAUCACUCUGCCUUCCGCCUUUGCAAAUGAAUAGGGCUCUGUCUACAGCUUCCGCCAUUCCUACGCCAGAUCUGCAACGCCUAAGGCUUAAACUUGGCGCGGCGGUAAAUUUAGCCCGAAGGCAGCGGCUCCUAAGGGGCGGGGAUGUCUCCUUGGAAGAAGGAAAGGGAACAGGGUAAGAAAAUGGAGUUGCCUCUAGGAAGAAGAAUCAGGCAGAGGAAACAUUCAGGGCCGCUGGCGGACCACUGACAAAAAGAAAUCGGACGCAAAAGAAACCUCCCCAGAAGAAACUGGGCCACCGUGGGAGCCGUGCGAGACAGACUUCCCAUCUGGGAAGGGCUGCCUACGGGUAAUUGGGUUUGCUCGAGUUGCCUCUAUAAUUAAUAAGUGAUUUGACUUGGAGAUUGGAAAUAGUCAUGAAAGGAAGCCGCGGGCGUAGGGGUGUGAGGCCCAGGAGCCUCCAUCCGAAAUCCAAAGACCGCGGAGGAGGACGGUUUAAGGAACAGGACGAAUGUGAUAAUAUUGGCAUCUAACCUUCUAGUGUUUGAGUAAUUCGUUGCUUAGCUACUUUGGAUAGGCCAUUAUUUUGCAAACUGGAAACAUUUGCAAGUGGUGAUAUUUUGCUCUUGCCUGACGCAGGGGCUGCAAACCUACGCCGGCUCUGCUGAACUCUUCGAAAUAUAUAUGCAUAAAUUGUUCCUAAUGAGACCAUCUGUUUUUUAUGGCCCCUCUGGAAGCAGGAGGAACCCGAAGCCUGCUCCGUCUUGCAGAAAUCUGUGGCCAGGCAGGCCUGGGAAAUAAAUAGGGGAGAUUAGAACGGUGUGCGUGAUUUAACAAUACGCAGAACGGCAAGUUCGGUGGUCGAGAUGUGUGCCUCGAUUCCCAGGGGUGCGGGUCAUUUAGGGUGACUCCAGACAUGGGGGUUCCUCCUAGGAGGCCCAGGGACUUUGCGGAGUUCCACGGCACACACGAACCUCGUUUUUCCAUAUCUGGAACAUCGCCAGAGCCACAACGCGAAACCACGAGCCUGUAGCUGCUCUGGGGACCCAAAACAAGCACCCAGGUUGUAGGUGGUCCCCGACGUCGCCCACUAUCUAGGGCCUCCUUCUACGGUGGUGAAGGGAGCUGAACCUGGGCCACAGAGGCAGAGAACGAGCAUCACUCCACCCCAUACCCGGGUCAGAGCACAGAGCUCAUUCCGGGCCUAUCCCAAAGACUGAGCUGCUCCGCGAGCGUCUGGCAGGCCCAGCGCCCCGGCCUGAGACCGCACUGAGGGUGGCAGGGCAAACACUUUUCACAUUACCGCGUGGCUGUUAAUUGGGGCAGUGCAAAAGACGCCGCGACUACCCCUUUGCGGCGGCGGGGGAGGGGGGAGCGGGUCAGGAGUGGGCAGUGGGGGCUGCUUAUAAUAGAAGGACUGCCCUGGGGAGCCUCAGAUAUCGGUAACCCCCAUGAUUAAUUCAUAACUCUCCACUGCGCCUGGCA
rnacentral:lncRNA from 1 species